rnacentral:rRNA from 1 species
UACGUAGGGGGCUAGCGUUGUCCGGAAUCAUUGGGCGUAAAGCGCGUGUAGGCGGUCCGGUAAGUCCGCUGUGAAAGUCGGGGGCUCAACCCUCGGAUGCCGGUGGAUACUGUCGGGCUUGAGUACGGAAGAGGCGAGUGGAAUUCCUGGUGUAGCGGUGAAAUGCGCAGAUAUCAGGAGGAACACCAAUUGCGAAGGCAGCUCGCUGGGACGUUACUGACGCUGAGAAGCGAAAGCGUGGGGAGCAAACAGG